rnacentral:precursor_RNA from 7 species
UAUAUCAUAAAAAAUGAGGCUGAUACUUUUUCCUUAACUCAUGCCGCUGUGCCUUUAUAUUUUAUUUCACAAUUGUAUGAGUUGAGUACAGAGUAUCAGUCCAGCUCUGCGUAACUCUGC